rnacentral:rRNA from 1 species
CGUAGUAACCUGCCCUCCACUUUGGGAUAACUCCGAGAAAUCGGGGCUAAUACUGGAUAUGACCUUGGCCCGCAUGGGUUGUGGUGGAAAGUUUUUCGGUGGGGGAUGGGCUCGCGGCCUAUCAGUUUGUUGGUGGGGUAAUGGCCUACCAAGGCGUCGACGGGUAGCCGGCCUGAGAGGGUGUACGGCCACAUUGGGACUGAGAUACGGCCCAG